GAUGAACGCUGGCGGCAUGCCUAAUACAUGCAAGUCGAGCGAAAACACGAUGAGCUUUCUCCUCUGCCGGUAGCGGCGGACGGGUGAGUAACACGUGGAUCACCUACCUAUAAGACUUGGGUAACUUCGGGAAACCGCAGCCAAUACUGGAUCAUAUAUUCAACCGCUUGGUUCAGUAGUGCAUGACGGUUUUGCUGUCUCUUAUAGAUGAAGCCGCGCCGCAUUAGCUAGUUGGUAAGGUAACGGCUUACCAAGGCAACGAUGCGUAGCUGACCUGAGAGGAUGAUCAGCCACACUGGAACUGAGACACGGUCCAGACUCCUACGGGAGGCAGCAGUAGGGAAUAUUGGGCAAUGGGCGAAAGCCUGAUCCAGCAAUGCCGCGUGGGUGAUGAAGGUCUUCGGGUUGUAAAGCUCUUUUGUUAGGAAAGAACAACUGCGGAUGUAUCCCUCGCUGUUCUGACGGUACCCAAAGAGAAAGCAACGGCUAACUACGUG
rnacentral:rRNA from 1 species